UACAGAGGGGGCCAGCGUUAUUCGGAAUUACUGGCGUAAAGGGCCAGUAGGCGGCCAACUAAGUCACACGUGAAAUCCCCAGGCUUAACCUGGGAACUGCGUGUGAUACUGGAUGGCUUGAAUUCGGGAGAGGGAUGCAGAAUUCCAGGUGUAGCGGUGAAAUGCGUAGAUAUCUGGAGGAAUACCGGUGGCGAAGGCGGCAUCCUGGACCGACAUUGACGCUGAACGGC
rnacentral:rRNA from 1 species